UGGACCAGUCACAUGUCAGACUGGUUCUUCCAUUUAACCUUUUUGCUUUUCCGGUAUGUACACUAUAUUUCUUAUUUCUAGACCAUAUAUUUAAAUAACAUUUCUAGACUUUAUCUCAGCAUUUCCCCAACGGCCGGAGCACCGGCAGCGGCUGGACGCGGCAGCGGUGGUGGUAGGCACUACUGUGUUGGGGACGGGCCAUGCAGCAGCACACUUUGGAACACACUCUGGGAUGCACGGUCGCCCGUUCCUGUGACGCCAUGCAGCUGCUGGCCAAGCAAGGCACUUUGUGCGGUGACGGACUGCUCCUGGAAGAAAAUGAGGACAAUAGCUUCAAUGCCACAUUAAUAAGCUACAACAAACACAACAGAUUGAUUGCGAGGAGUUGGUGCUCCUUCAUCUCCUCCCUCAGCCAGGAGAUGUCAGCGAGAUUUCUUGUGCCAAUGAUGCACAGUGAGGAGGUGGUGCGGCCUUGUGGCGUGUUUGCAACGGUCGAUCCGGUGGCCUGCCAGCAGCCUCGCCAUCUCUGGCUUGUUACUAGUUGCUGCUUGGAGCAUGGUUGAGUCGGCUCCCUUGCUGUGGGCCUACGGCUCUCCCCUUGCCCCCUUGUCGAAGCCAUCGGAGAGGACAAGGCCGCCAACCCAUGAUGAUACACUCACAGUUACCCAGGCCUCGCUGGUCCUCCCUUGCAUGCCCUCAUAUGCCUGGGGUUAUGGCAAUCAGGACAUGGUGGGGGCAGUUGGUGGUAAGGCAGAGUCAGUCGUACUGCCAGCAGUGGCACUACUCGAGAUCAAUGCCAUGAGGAGUAUCACUCAAGUCCCAGGAUUUGACGAUAUUGUUUCUGGCUAUUAGGUUGUACAACAUCUUUGUUAUGGAUUGUGACCCCCACACAAUACUGGAUUCAGGUACACUAGCAACUACUCUUU